UCCAGCUCCGUUCAUGUCUACUCAUCUAACCUCUCCUACUCUACUGUCAUCUUUACUUUAUUCAUUCCAUAUCUUGACCUAAGAGCGGUUUCAUCUCUAGAGAAAUCCCGAGAAAUGCUGAGAUUUGCUGCAAUCUAAUCCCAUAGAUGAUGCGACGCUUGGAGUUGGGUUUAUUCUUUCUCUCAACUUCGUCAACCUAUUCUUCAACAAAUGGUUCACCGUCACUGAUGGAUGGUUGGCCGAGGUUUGAGAGUCUCAGUAGAGCACCGCUAUUAUUCGUUCUUUUUGACACAUGCAUGUGCCUCUUCAUUGAUGGAUGGAUUGCCAUCAUUGUCAUGGUGUUCCGCUGCAUUACCGACACCUUGCUCCUCUAGAGCAUGGGUAGCUCUUCACUAUCUCAAGGUCAAGAUUGGCUUCUUCUUCGACUUCAAGGGCUUCCUCCCUCUACCUCAGACACAGAGCAACGAAGCAGAAGAAGCAGAGACAAGAGAGAUUAUCAUCCUCUGUGCAUGUUGGUUCUGAGUUUUAUUAGCAGUCCCUAAAGAUAAGGAGGCAAGUCCAGUCAAGCCUGUAAAAUUUUACUUCCAUUAUGAAAAAGGAGCAACACUUUGGGAAAUAGUGGUUAAGAUAUACACCACCAUGGCAUAUCCCCACUUGGUUGAGAUGAAGUACAAGUCAGCUCAUCCUUCAAUGCAACCAAAGUAAUCCUAAAUCCAGACAUUAAAGAGGUCUAGGAUUUGGUGGAGAGGUUUGCCUAAGUCAUCCCUUCUGGUAGUUAUGAAAAUAACCCAAUUAUCACACUAACUAUCCUCAACUAUUAUUUGUACUUCCUAUGGUAGUGCCGCACUAAGCUCAUCUCCAAUUAAUUCAUGUAUACAAACUGAUUUCUUUAAUUAUAAGGUUGAAACUGACUUAUUUGUAUUGUUUUCAGCGGCAUACUUGUAUACUGAUUUCAAACAAAACAUGGACUUUAUUUUCAUGUUAUUUUUAUUUGCUUGGGGCACCAAGGAGUGAUUAAUGUGUGAUGCUUUCAUUUUCUUUGAUUUUUAUAGGAUUAUGCAAAUGGGAUUCAGAUUCAUUUAUGAUGACACUCAUGGGUUGUUACAAUUAAAACUUCUAUGAAUUAUCCAUGGCCUUCUUUGUUGUGGGUCAUGAAAAAAUGAUGAUAAUAAUAUUGUCAUAUGUUUCUUUUUUUGUUUUUUAGUAGUAAAUCAAUUGCUCAAAGUCAUGCUUACAGUCUACAUGAUUUUCUUGGAUAAAUAAAUUGGAUAAGACACAUUCUGAUAUGGAGUAAUGUGCUACACCCUAUUUUUGAGUCUACUCAGCAAUUUUAUUUCCUGCUUUGUUUUUUCACUUUUUCCUUUUUGUGAGUUAUACUCUCAAAAAAAAUUUUGUAAGUCAAUUGACUCAAUUUUUUGAAUUUCUAUCCUAGUUAGCACAGAUUGGUGAUUCAAAUCACGUUUCUUUUCUUUUUUUUUUUUUUGUUCAAUUUUGCCUAAGGUAUGUUGUUGAUUCCAGAUUACUAAAAGAGGCGUAGGCCGAUGUCCUUUUACAUGUACUCCUAUUUGUUAAAGGUGAUGGAGUCAUGGAGCUGCAGCUGAAUGUUAUAGCCUUUUCAAAUUUCACUGCUUUGAGUGUCAUCCCUUACUUGCUAUGCUUUAGCUACAAGGGUAUUUUGGAACCCCACUUUCUAUGAAAUCCUUCCUACGAGAAGGGCCCUUCUUAAUCUUUCUAGGAGGUCUUAGUUAUUUAGGAGUCUGCGACUAUAGAUUAGUUUCUUUUUUUAUUUGUGGCCUGUACUUAAUGACUCGUUUAGGAUUGUUUUUUGUUUUUUUUUGUUUUUUGCUGGGGCCGUUUUGUAGUGUCCAUUUCAAGCUCCCCAUUUUCUGGGGCAGUUUAUGUUUUGAACAAUCUUUGUAACAGGUGCUGAUGCACCUUAACACAUUUCUCCUAUGGUAUUGAUAUAAGCAAUGGUUUCAUUAGUCAUAUCUUUUUAAAUGGUUGGAAAAAUUACACAUUUUUCUUUAUUCUGAUAUCUACACACUGUUACAACUAUGAAUCCACUUUGUAAGCAUAACAAUCUGUCAGCCUUAUAUUAAUAACUCUAUAAUGAAGUUUAACAUUGAUUGCACUUUGUUAAUUCUCCAUAUAUGUGUUCUGUUUUUCGUUUUUGCUGAAUGUAUUAUUUUGUUAUUUUUACUUCACUUAUACAUAUAAGGAGCUUUAGGUUUUUUGUAAUUCUUUAUCUCGAAUCCUAUUGUGGUAUACUAUAUAUACCUGUCUAUAAUUUAUUGUUCUCAUGCACUCUAAGUUAUGUUCAAGUUGAAGCUGCUAAGUCUACUUUUCUUAUAGCACCAAGUGCAGUGGUAGGUAUGAUGUAUAGUAUUUUCUUUUUGUUCAUCAAUGAAAGUUAGGCAAUCCAACCUUUUAUUUGUCAAUUAUGUUAUAUAUGCAGAUCUCUGAUUCUGUAUCACGUUUAAGAUAUAUACCUCAUGAUUCAAUUAUUUUGUCCUGAAUAAGGCAUUCCAAUCGUGUGGUUUUAUCUAUGUCAUGAUGCUUUCCAACUUUUGUCUACUGUUAGAACAAUGUUUAAAAGUGAUUUUAUUAACCAAUGGAUAACUUCUGGUGCAUGUAUCAAGAAUUUUUGAGUAAAUAAAUAGUGGUAACCUUUUGUUGAUACUUGAUAGGGCUAUGUCUACUGUCUGAUGCAAAACUGUGGUUUAACUCUCUUUUUUGGUUUUGUUUGGUAUCUUAAUGUCAGUGCAUUUUUAUUUGUUUGUUGGUUGACCAUCGGUUCAUCAUUUUGCUUUCAGUCAUUGUCCCUUUUUUAUUGAUUCAUGCUGGACAUAUCUCCUUUUCUUUUGCUACCUUUUUGUUAACAGUGUUGCUUUCGGCUUUCUGCCAUCACCAGUACUCUUUAACCAAAAAAUUUUCUGUCCUCUCUACUGUGACCAUGCUGUCACAGUCCAUGGUUUGUUUUUAUAGAUGUUAUCAUUUUUUUCAACUAUCAUGUCUCACUGCAUAAACCACGGAUCUGUGAUUUUUAUGUGUAAAAUUUGCUACAAAUAGUGCUGACAUAUUCAAGAUAUUGUCGUAUAGACUUGUGUGUGUUUAUUUUGUGAAUAGGCGUGUUGUAGUUUAUUGGGGCUACCCUGUUUUAAUCCUAAAAUUUAUGUCUUGCUUAUGUGUUUGUGUGCAUUUGUUGUGGAAGUUUUCAUUAUGUUUUAGCCAUGUUUAUAUUUUAAAGAUCGAAAAAUGAUGUCAUGUUUAUGUUCUUUGGAUGACAGCUGAUUUUUUUCCAUGUAAAGAAAGAUCAUCAUGAUAUGUUUUAGGUAUUUAAGGUUGGCAGAAGUUCCAUCAAGUCAUCAUACUGAGUUAUAUCCCUUAGUUUGCUUCUUGAGAAAUAUAUCAUGGCUUCAUGCUAGAAGAUUUUGCAUGAUGAUAUUGGUAUUGAGGCUCACCUCCUAUUUUUUUUUUUUUUUGUUAGUAUGUCUGAGUUUUGAUAUUUGUUUAGCUUCUCAAGACAAUCUUCACUGUCUACUAGCCAUAUCUAUUUUGCUUACUGCUUAAAACUAUAAACUUAUGGUGGAUCAUCCUACAUUUAGGCUAUCAUGCUAGAAGAUUUUGCAUGAUGGUGUCGGUAUUGAAGCUUUUCUCAUUUUUCAUUUUUUUUUAAUGUCUGAGUUAUGAGAUUUAGAGAGCUUCUCAAGAAAUAUUUACUAGCUUUUAGCCUUUUUUUUUUUUUUGAAACAAAUGUUUUUUGGAGGAUAGCUUCUGAUAUUGUGUGUAAGAGGAGUCAUAGUAUCAUCAUGAUAUGCUUUAGGUAUUGAAGGUAAGCUGAUUUCCAAUGAAGUGAUCUUACUGCAUUGUAUUUCUUAGUUUGCCUCUCGAGAAAUAUAUCAUGCUAUUAUUGCUUGAAGACUUUGCAGUAUCGUUUUGAUAUUGUAACUGACUCUACCCUGUGCUCUUUAUUUCCGGGAUUAUUAGGACUCAUGUUCACAUUGUCAGACUAAUAAGUGAGUAACUCCUUUGAUAGUUUUAUUAUGCAGGUUUCAUUAUAUAGAGCCCUUCAUAGAGACAAAUCAGACUUGACUUCCAAUCUUUUUUUUUUUUUUGUCUUGUGUUUACAAUAUAUGUAUAGUAUUAUCUAAUUAGUGUCUGUAUAAUGCUGAAUUUUUGUGCCACUAUUCAAGUGUAUAUUGAAUCAUUGAUUUUUGCAUUGGAAAUGAAAUGGUAUUAAAUGAGUUAAUCACAGUAUUAUUCACUCCAAGAUUCAGUUAGGCGAACUGGAAAGUUUUUGGAUAGGUACCUGCCACUUUGUCAAAUCAGGAUGCCUUCAUUUUGUGUUCUUCGACAAUAUCUCUCUCUCGAGUAGAGUACUGAUUUGACAUCCUAGACCAUAUUGUUUUUUGGUCACUAGCCUACAUCAGUUAUGUGUGAUGAAAUCAUGGUAUUAGUAAUAUCCCUUAUUUUCAUAUGUCAAUACAAGACGUUAGUUCAUUUGCCUUCGAUUUCUAUUUCAUAAUAUAGUAAUCUAUCUUUUAAACUUUUUAAGCUUCUGCAGUUCUAGUUUUUACUACAGAUAUUCUAAUUCUUUGCAAUUUUUGUAUACUUUCAAUACUCCCACUCAAUGGUUCAUCUUAAAAUCUACAUUCAAUGCUUCCUGUUAAACGGAAGUCAUACAAAUCACUAACACAAAGUAAGGAAAAUGAUGAUCCUUAGGGUUCUGAUGAGAUGAUUCAUGUUUUAAACCUUCAGAUGAACCAUUGCAAAGUUUCCACUUAGAGAUAUUAGUUCUGAAAAUCAAAAUGUUGUUUCAGGAAUGAUAUCAUUACUUGGCUUACUCUGUUAUGCUUACAAAAGCCUCAUCUUGACACCUCAUGGAAGAUUGGGAUAAGCAUAACUUGCUGGAAGUUAUAGGAAGUGAGGAACUGAUGCAUUUUCAAUGAUGAAUCCUUUGCUGAUGCCAUCUUAUCUCAAGUUAUAGCUAUUGCUGAUCAUACAUUUAGUUAAUUUUCUAGCUUUGAUGUACUUAUAACUAUUGUUAAGUGGCAAAACAUUACUCAUUACUCAAUAAACACUUUUCUUGAGAGACUUUCAAAUGCAGAAACUAGAGGCUAAGCCUCCAUAUGAUUGGACCAACAUGAAGGCUCAUGUUGGAUAUUAUGUUGUAUUCAUCCACGGCCGAAAUACUUUUAUGUUUUUUUAUUUUCAUGGAAGCUAUACAUGUAUUGUUAAUGACUAGAUUUGUGCAAUGUUUGCAAAUGUCUAGAAAAG